rnacentral:tRNA from 1 species
CGGGACGUGGCUCAGCCUGGUAGAGCGCUGCGUUCGGGACGCAGAAGUCGCUGGUUCGAAUCCAGUCGUCCCGACCA